rnacentral:rRNA from 1 species
UGAGUACGAGAUGCUACGGCGUCGAAGCAGUCUAUGUCAUACUUCCAAGAAAAGCUUGCACUGUCAUAAACAAAGAAUGCCUGUACCAUAACCGACACAGGUGGGUAGGUAGAGUAUACUAAGGGGCGCGAGAUAACUCUCUCUAAGGAACUCGGCAAAAUGACUCCGUAACUUCGGGAGAAGGAGUGCCUUAUUUUUAAGGUUGCAAUAACAAGAUCCAAGCAACUGUUUACCAAAAACACAGGUCUCCGCUAAGUCGUAAGACGAUGUAUGGGGGCUGACGCCUGCCCAGUGCCAGAAGGUUAAAGAAGUUGGUUAGCAUUCGCGAAGCUGAUAACUGAAGCCCUGGUGAACGGCGGCCGUAACUAUAACGGUCCUAAGGUAGCGAAAUUCCUUGUCGGGUAAGUUCCGACCCGCACGAAAGGCGUAAUGAUUUGGAUACUGUCUCGGAGAGGGGCUCGGUGAAAUAGACUUGUCUGUGAAGAUGCGGACUACCUGCACCUGGACAGAAAGACCCUAUGAAGCUUUACUGUAACUUGAGAUUGAAAUUGGACUUUAUUUGCGCAGUAUAGGUGGGAGGCGUUGAGAAUAAUCUUGCGGGAUUAUGGGAGCCAUCAGUGAGAUACCACUCUUGUAAUGUUAGAUUUCUAACUUUGUAUCAUUAUCUGGUCAAAGAACAGUUUCAGGCGGGCAGUUUGACUGGGGCGGUCGCCUCCCAAAGGGUAACGGAGGCGCACAAAGGUUUCCUCUGAACGGGUAGAAAUCGUAUCUACAGUGUAAAGGCAUAAGGAAGCUUGACUGUGAGACCUACAAGUCGAGCAGGGACGAAAGUCGGUCUUAGUGAUCUGACGGUGCUGAGUGGAAAGGCCGUCACUCAACGGAUAAAAGUUACUCUAGGAUAACAGGCUGAUCUCCCCCAAGAGUUCACAUCGACGGGGAGGUUUGGCACCUCGAUGUCGGCUCAUCGCAUCCUGGGGCGGUAGUACGUCCCAAGGGUUGGGCUGUUCGCCCAUGAAAGCGGUACGCGAGCUGGGUUCAGAACGUCGUGAGACAGUUCGGUCCAUAUCCGGUGUAGGCGUUAGAAUAUUGAAAGGAGCCUUCUCUAGUACGAGAGGACCGAGAAGGACAUACCUCUGGUGUACCAGUUAUCGUGCCAACGGUAAACGCUGGGUAGCUAUGUAUGGAGUGGAUAACCGCUGAAAGCAUCUAAGUGGGAAGCCCACCUUAAGAUAAGUAUUCUC